rnacentral:rRNA from 1 species
ACAUGCAAGUCGAGGGGCAGCAUGAGAUAGCUUGCUAUUCAGAUGGCGACCGGCGCACGGGUGAGUAACGCGUAUCCAACCUUCCCCUUAGUAGAGGAUAGCCCGGCGAAAGUCGGAUUAAUACUCUAUGUUGUAUUUUUGAGGACAACUGACGAAUACCAAAGAUUUAUCGCUAAGGGAUGGGGAUGCGUCUGAUUAGCUUGUUGGCGGGGUAACGGCCCACCAAGGCGACGAUCAGUAGGGGUUCUGAGAGGAAGGUCCCCCACAUUGGUACUGAGACACGGACCAAACUCCUACGGGAGGCAGCAGUGAGGAAUAUUGGUCAAUGGGCGAGAGCCUGAACCAGCCAAGUAGCGUGCAGGAACCGACUGCCCUAUGGGUUGUAAACUGCUUUUAUCAGGGAAUAAAGUGCGGCACGUGUGCUGUUUUGUAUGUACCUGAUGAAUAAGGACCGGCUAAUUCCGUGCCAGCAGCGGC